rnacentral:rRNA from 1 species
UACGGGGGGGGCGAGCGUUGUUCGGAAUUACUGGGCGUAAAGGGUUCGUAGGUGGCCAACUAAGUCAGACGUGAAAUCCCUCAGCUUAACUGGGGAACUGCGUCUGAUACUGGUUGGCUUGAGUGCAGGAGAGGAACGCGGAAUUCCAGGUGUAGCGGUGAAAUGCGUAGAUAUCUGGAGGAACACCGGUGGCGAAGGCGGCGUUCUGGACUGCAACUGACACUGAGGAACGAAAGCCAGGGGAGCAAACGGG